rnacentral:rRNA from 1 species
CAGGUGGUGCAUGGUUGUCGUCAGCUCGUGUCGUGAGAUGUUGGGUUAAGUCCCGCAACGAGCGCAACCCCUAUUGUUAGUUGCCAUCAUUCAGUUGGGCACUCUAGCGAGACUGCCGGUAAUAAACCGGAGGAAGGUGGGGAUGACGUCAAAUCAUCAUGCCCCUUAUGACCUGGGCUACACACGUGCUACAAUGGUUGGUACAACGAGUUGCGAGUCGGUGACGGCGAGCUAAUCUCUUAAAGCCAAUCUCAGUUCGGAUUGUAGGCUGCAACUCGCCUACAUGAAGUCGGAAUCGCUAGUAAUCGCGGAUCAGCACGCCGCGGUGAAUACGUUCCCGGGCCUU